CCAGCAGCCGCGGUAAUACAGAGGGUGCGAGCGUUGUUCGGAAUUAUUGGGCGUAAAGCGCGCGCAGGCGGUCAUGUAAGUCUGGUGUUUAAGCCCGGGCUCAACCCCGGUUCGCAUCGGAAACUGUGUGACUUGAGUGCAGAAGAGGAAAGUGGAAUUCCACGUGUAGCGGUGAAAUGCGUAGAGAUGUGGAGGAACACCAGUGGCGAAGGCGACUUUCUGGACUGUAACUGACGCUGAGGCGCGAAAGCGUGGGGAUCAA
rnacentral:rRNA from 1 species